AGUGAACGCUGGCGGUAGGCCUAACACAUGCAAGUCGAACGGCAGCACAGUAAUAGCUUGCUCUUACGGGUGGCGAGUGGCGUACGGGUCAGGUAUACAUCCGACUCUACUUUUUCGUGUGGCUUCACGUAAGUAAACUUACGCUCAUACCGCAUACCCCCUUCCGUUGAAAGCAGUGGAUCUUCGCACCUUGCGCGAUUGAAUGCGCCGAUGUGGGAUUAGUUAGUUGGCGGGGUAAUUGCCCACCAAGGCGCCGAUCCGUAGCUGGUGUGAGAGGAGGGUCGGCCACACUGGAGGUGAGACACGGUCCAGACGACUGAGGGAGGCAGCAGUGGGGAAUAUGGGACAAUGGGCGGAAGCCUGACACAGCGAUACCGAGUGGGUGAAGAAGGCCUUCGGGUUGGAAAGACGGUUUGUUGGGAAAGAAAAGCAGCAGGUUAAUACCCAGCUGGUCUGACGGUAACCAAAGAAGAAGCACCGGCUAACUUCGUG
rnacentral:rRNA from 1 species